UACGUAGGGCGCAAGCGUUGUCCGGAAUUAUUGGGCGUAAAGAGCUCGUAGGCGGUUUGUCGCGUCUGCUGUGAAAACCUAAGGCUCAACCUUGGGCUUGCAGUGGGUACGGGCAGACUAGAGUGCGGUAGGGGUGACUGGAAUUCCUGGUGUAGCGGUGGAAUGCGCAGAUAUCAGGAGGAACACCGAUGGCGAAGGCAGGUCUCUGGGCCAUUACUGACGCUGAGGAGCGAAAGCAUGGGGAGCGAACAGG
rnacentral:rRNA from 1 species